rnacentral:rRNA from 1 species
GUAGUCUCGCACAGAUGCAUAUCAAUAAGCGGAGGAAAAGAAACUAACAAGGAUUCCCUUAGUAACGGCGAGUGAAGCGGGAAGAGCUCAAAUUUGAAAUCUUCAAGGUUUUACCUUGACGAAUUGUAGUUUAAAGAAGUGUUUUCUGUUGAAGUUUUGGUAAAAGUUCUUUGGAAUAGGACAUCAUAGAGGGUGAGAAUCCCGUAUUUGACCAUUAUUUUCAGCUGUGUGAUACACUUUCAAAGAGUCGGAUUGUUUGGGAAUGCAGUCCAAAAUGGGUGGUAAAUUUCAUCUAAAGCUAAAUAUUGGCGAGAGACCGAUAGCGAACAAGUACCGUGAGGGAAAGAUGAAAAGAACUUUGAAAAGAGAGUUAAACAGUACGUGAAAUUGUCAAAAGGGAAGCGUUUGACACCAGUGUUGUUUUUCUGAAAAUCAAUUAAAAAGAGUUUGAUUUUGUUGUGUAUUGACCUUAACAGCUUGCAUUUCAAUUUUCUUGCUUCUUUUAAUGCACUUUUCGUUUAACAAGUCAACAUCAGUUUCUUUUGUUGUAAAAAGGUCAUUGGAAGGUGGCUUUCUUUUCGGAGAAAGUGUUUAUAGCCUUUGACUCCUGCAAUCGGAGAGACUGAGGUCUGCAGCGUAGAUCCUUCGGGGUUAGAUACAUUUGUGCUAAGUUAUAGCUUUUUAUAGACAACUUGUUGACUAUGAUUUGUCUUGUAGCUUACUCGCUUAUGCUAUUUUACCUACGCUUAGGAUGUUGAGCGCAUGUCUCUCUCU